UGUUUCACCUGUUCCUUUUCAAGUCUCUGUGUCCCUUCACUCCCUGUCAGUUUGUCUGUGUAUGAUUCCUCAUGUUCUUCCCCUGCUGUUUAGUUUCCUAUUGGACUUACUACCGGCGUUGGAUUAUCUGUUUCUGGUUUAGUUCAUUUGUUUUCCUCAUGUUUAGUUUUCCUGUUAACCGUGUUCCUGGCUUCCUGUGUGCCAUCUCAUUCACCUAACUGACUAUCUCCUGGUAUCUCUCUUACUGCACAGUUGAAGCUGAGGCAGGAAACGGGGGGGAGUGGUAUGAUAUGCAACAAAGGUCCCCAACAAAGAGCUGGCUGCAGCUGGAGACAAGGUUGAUGACAGAUGACAACGACGAGACUGAACCAAACAUUAAAAAUUGCGGGCUGAAAAACCAAAACAAUGAGCUAAAAGAUGCUAAAAAAAUCUCUGUAGCACUGAGAGGAACUGCAGAGCUGGGUUCUAAAUAUCUAUGAGUUAGUCACUAUGAGUGACAACUUACUCAUACAACACACAGUGAUCUGACGAGGUACAGUGGUGGUUUCACAGGGUGGAAAAUGUAAAAACUGAAGUAAUAACAUGUAGGUAUGCUUGAAGCCUGAGGGAUGCACCUUGUUAGCAGUUAACUACAGUACGGGUUAUUAAGUGUCCCAGUCCAAUUUUUUAAUUUUAUUUUUUUAUUCAGUACCAAUUUAUUGAGUAUUGCACCACUGCAUCAUGCAGCAUUAUAAUUGCGCUGUCAUUGCUCUACACGAGUGUCCUUGCAGUCCCUCUCAUUGUGUAGCCUGCUGCUGUUCUGAAUAUGCACUGAGUACUUUGGCUUAAAAUUAUUUGUGACAUCAAAUUAUUACAUUGUCAAGGGAAAGUUUUUGAAAACUUUGAUGAAGCGCAAAAUGAAUCAUUACUGACUUUCACAGGAUCUUCUCUGGAAAUUUUCUGUACUGCCUGAGACAGUUUCAGGCAGUUAUUUUUGUCACAACGGAAGCCAAUUAAAUUCUACUGUAGGUGUUUAGCAUUUUGCUGCAUUGUAUCCCAUCCUGCCUCAAACAACAGCACAAAAUAACCAGUUCUGAAACAUGAAGUAUCACAAUAGCAAUUAAAUUAAAGAUGGAAAUGUUUUGCAAAUUGUACACUAUACUGAUUUGGCCCAUAAAUGAAGCCGCAUAGACACCAGUUAUACAAAAGUGUGUUUUUUUUUGCUGCGAUGUAUCAAACAGUGCUGUGACCUUUAAUUGACUAAACGUGUUAGAUGAAAACAAUGCAACACACUGAAGCUCUCAAAGACUUUCAAGAACUUUCAGAUCAGUUUUCAGGAGCUAUUCUGUUUUGUUGUUUUUUUCGGUUUCUAAUUCUUAAAAGUCUGGAUAUCAAAUGAAUCAAACUUUCUAGUUUAUUCAUAAUACUAGUUGGCGUACAAAAAUAGAGUUUAACCUCUUCUCCCCUAGAAAUCAAUGAUUUUUAGUUGUGUUGUGUUGGGUGACUGUAUCACAUGUAAACUUAGUAUCAGCAUUUUGAAACUGCAGAUAGCAACAUUGUUGUAUGGAUGAGGGUGAAGCCCAAAUAGUUUUUUUUAUUUCUGUUCAGUGAUUUGUUCAGCUAAUUUUAUGUUGCCAGAAUCAGAAUUGAGAAGAGGUUUUAAAGUAUGUAAAUUGAUAUUUACUAACAUUAAAAUUACAUCCCUUCCUUCCUUCCUUACUCCCUAAAAACCUAAAAAUUAAUUCAUAUUGUCUCAUUAACAGUGAUAGUAUAGUAUAAUUACUGUUUUAGCAUGACCAAGAACAUUAUAAUUCUCUGCUGUCUCUUUACACUAUUUUUACAUGGUCUG